rnacentral:rRNA from 1 species
GAUGAACGCUGGCGGCGUGCCUAAUACAUGCAAGUCGAACGAACAGACGAGGAGUUUGCUGCUCUGACGUUAGCGGCAGGCGGGUGAGUAACACGUGGAUAACCUACCGAUAAGACUGGGAUAACUGCGGGAAACCGGAUCUAAUACCGGAUAAUAUAUUUAACCGCAGGGUUCAAUAGUGAAAGACUGGUUUGCUGUUACGUAUGGAUGGAUUCGGGCUGCAUUAGCGAGUUGGUAAGGUAACGGCUUAGCAAGGCGACGAGGCGUAGCCGACGUGAGAGGGUGAUAGGCCACACUGGAACUGAGACAGGGACCAGACUCCUAAGGGAGGCAGCAGUAGGGAAUCUUACGCAAUGGUGGAAAGCCUGGCGGAGCAACGCCGAGUGAGUGGUGACGGUCUUCGGAUAGUAAAACCCUGUUAUUGGGGAAGAACAACUGUGUAAGUAACUAUGCACGUCUUGACGGUACCUAAACAGAAAGCACCGGCUAACUACGUG